GACGAACGCUGGCGGCGUGCCUAAUACAUGCAAGUCGAACGGCAGCAUGAGAGAGCUUGCUCUCUUGAUGGCGAGUGGCGGACGGGUGAGGAACACAUCGGAAUCUGCCCAGUCGUGGGGGAUAACGUAGGGAAACUUACGCUAAUACCGCAUACGACCUACGGGUGAAAGCAGGGGAUCUUCGGACCUUGCGCGAUUGGAUGAGCCGAUGUCGGAUUAGCUAGUUGGCGGGGUAAAGGCCCACCAAGGCGACGAUCCGUAGCUGGUCUGAGAGGAUGAUCAGCCACACUGGAACUGAGACACGGUCCAGACUCCUACGGGAGGCAGCAGUGGGGAAUAUUGGACAAUGGGCGCAAGCCUGAUCCAGCCAUGCCGCGUGGGUGAAGAAGGCCUUCGGGUUGUAAACUCCUUUCAACCAUGACGAAGCUUUCGGGUGACGGUAGUGGUAGAAGAAGCACCGGCUAACUAC
rnacentral:rRNA from 1 species